AUUGUAAAAAGAAAUUUCCCCAUCUCCAUAAAAAUCUUCUUCUUCUUAUCCAUUCACUCACCACAUCGAUCUCUUCAAUCUCUCAUAAGAACCAAAAAUUCCCAAAUCUCAAAUCCACUUUAUUUUUUCAUCCUUCACUUUCACCAGAAAUUUCUUGACAUCAUUCGAUCUAAGAAGAAUAUAGACAAAACCUAGCCAUUAACUAAAACCCAGUAAACCAAAUCAAUCACUCUCCAUCUCCGCCUAUCUCUUAAUAUCUCUAACUAAACAACAAAUAAGUAGAGGAUGUUGAUGAAUAUGGAGAAAUCGUAAGGGAUGAUUCUGCUAUCUUCUGGGUUUUCAGUAAGAAAAGAUGAUGACCACAAGUAUGGAGAUCUUGUGAAACAAUGAAAAUGGUAAGAUUAACUAUUAAUCGUCUAUUUAGAUUUUAACUGCGAACACUGAAUUUAGCAAUUUGUUAUCUUGGUUAUAUUUGCUCGUGGAUAUAGUCUUCGAGAGCAAUGAAAAUCUCAAUCUCACCUUAAGGAAUUGUGAGCUUUUCUAGCAAGGUAAUUUUUGAUAAAUUAUGUUGUAUAUCUGUGAUUUAAUUAGAAAUCUAUUGCCUGUGUAAGGCUGUUUGUAUCACAUAAAGGUUUUAGUGUUUUAUUUUUAUUGUAUUAUCCGUGUGUAUGAUCGAACGCCAUAGGAAAGGAAUUUUGCAGACCCAUCAACUUUAGCUGACUUUGAUGUAGUAUUUGCAGGAAGCAACAAAAAACUAAAGGUGUAUUUAAUAAAGUUUUAUAGUCUGAGCAAGUGGGGAUUUGAUGAACGAUGAUAGAUUGAACAAAUUUUACAUUAUUUUUUAUUAUGAUUCUAUUUGUUUCUGUGGUUAAUUUAUAGGAAGCAAAACUUUUACAAUCUGAGGAGGUGAGGAUUUAAUGGAUGAUGAUAGAUUGAACAAAUUUUACAUCCAGGUAAGGAUUUGUUGCUGUGUUUAAUGUAUAGGAAGCGAUUGUUUUACCUCCCUGGGUUUACACUUGUUCGUCCUGCACAUUUCUGUUCAUGAAAAUAUUAAUUCACUGUUUUAUUUAACAUAAUAAAGCUAGAUGUUUAGCUAAUCCAUGUAUGUAUGUUGUGUUGACCUAUGCUGCUACAAGUACUUGGGUAGUAGUUUAUUCAAUAUGUGCUUUAAAGCAUAAAAUAAGGUUUGGCUUGUUCGUAGUGUUGAGCCAAGUUGCUCGUUGUUUGUUAACAACAAAUUCUGUUGGUAAGACCACCCAGCUUCCCCAGUAUAUCUUAGAAUCUGAGAUAAAAGCUACAAAUAGAUCUGCCUGUAGUAUAAUCUGUACGCAGCCUCGUCGAAUAUCUUCCAUGGAAGUUUCUGAAAUAGUUGCUGCAGAGAGGGGUGAAAAAUUGGGUGAAAUUGUUGGCUAUAAAGUUUGUUUGGAAGGUCAGAGAGGGAGGGAUACUCGCCUUCUGUUUUGCACCAUAGGCAUUUUAUUGAGGAGAUUACUGCAUGACAAAAGUUUAAAAGGUGUUACCCAUGUUAUUGUGGAUAAGAUUCAUGAACAUGGAAUGAAUGAAGUUAUCCAGACUUUUUUCUUAUCAUACUAAGGGACCUUCUUCCACGGUGUCCAGAACUGAGGCUUAUUUUGAUGAGUGCAACCUUGAAUGCAGAGCUAUUUUUGACCUACUUUGGUGGGGCACCAAUGAUUUAUAUUCCGUGACGGCCUUGGGAAAACAUCAUUAUAUGGUAGGAACACCAUUGAAGAUUUGUAAGCGCGGUAGUGACGCAGGAUCAUCAUUGCCAAGUGUUGUUUGUGCAUCUCCUGCAUAUGUUGUUAUGCAUGUGCUCUUCUUGGUUUCAUAAAUAGGGCAUGUUGUUUGGAAUUGUAGUUUCGAAUAUGGAGCGUGGAACGUACCGGCAGUCAAGUCAAUUUUCUGAAUUCAGCACCUUUGCAUGUUUUUCCAUCUAAUUUUGUGCCAUUUAGACUCUGAAUUUGGAAGUUGCAAGGAAAGAUGAUGCUGGUAAUGUGAUUUUCCAGUGCAAAUCAAAUUGGUUGCAUUUCAUCACUGUUUAUUUGCAUGAAGUUAAUGGAAAGAUGAUGCUCUUGGUGGUUUACAUUCCAAGAGGGAGCAGGUGGAACUAAAGCUUGAUUAUAUAUGGGAACGGAUGCAACUAUGGACCUCCCUACGAGUUUCAAUUGGCAAGUAUGCUCCGUAAGGAUCUCAAUUGGUGAAGUUCGUGGAUUUUCUCCUAAGACUUCUACCAAUCUACUGUCUUAGGGCUGGAGCAAUGACCUGAUUUGAGCUAGGUUGUCAGAAACUGAAGGCAUAGAUAGUGAAACGUUAUGGUUUGUU